rnacentral:rRNA from 1 species
GACGAACGCUGGCGGCGCGCUUAAUACAUGCAAGUCGAACGAGAAGCCAGAGCCUGCUCUGGUGGAAAGUGGCGAACGGGUGAGUAACACGUGAGAAACCUGCCCCAAAGAUUGGGAUAAGCCUUGGAAACGAGGUCUAAUACCAAAUACCUUCUUUUUAACACAUGUUAAAAAGAAGAAAUGCUCCGGCGCUUUGGGAUGGUCUCGCGAUCUAUCAGCUUGUUGGUGAGGUAACGGCUCACCAAGGCAUCGACGGAUAGCUGGUCUGAGAGGAUGUCCAGCCACAUUGGAACUGAGACACGGUCCAAACUCCUACGGGAGGCAGCAGUAGGGAAUCUUGCACAAUGAGGGAAACCUUGAUGCAGCGACGCCGCGUGCGGGACGAAGGCCCUAGGGUUGUAAACCGCUUUCAGUAGGGACGAAAGUGACGGUACCUACAGAAGAAGCCCCGGCCAACUAUGUGCCAGCAGCCGCGGUAAU